UACAGAGGUCCCAAGCGUUGUUCGGAUUCACUGGGCGUAGAGGGUGCGUAGGUGGCGAGGUAAGUUUGAUGUGAAAUCUCCGGGCUUAACCCGGAAAUGGCAUUGAAUACUCUCUCGCUCGAGGGUUGGAGGGGGGACUGGAAUUCUCGGUGUAGCAGUGAAAUGCGUAGAUAUCGAGAGGAACACCAGUGGCGAAGGCGAGUCCCUGGACAACUCCUGACACUGAGGCGCGAAAGCUAGGGGAGCGAACAGG
rnacentral:rRNA from 1 species